AUUGGAAGGGGUGUAUUUAUUAGAUAAAAAACCAACGCCCUUCGGGGCUCCUUGGUGAAUCACAAUAACUUAACGAAUCGCAUGGCCUUGCGCCGGCGAUGGUUCAUUCAAAUUUCUGCCCUAUCAACUUUCGAUGGUAGGAUAGUGGCCUACCAUGGUGGCAACGGGUAACGGGGAAUUAGGGUUCGACUCCGGAGAGGGAGCCUGAGAAACGGCUACCACAUCCAAGGAAGGCAGCAGGCGCGCAAAUUACCCAAUCCCGAUACGGGGAGGCAGUGACAAUAAAUACUGAUACGGGGCUCUUUCGGGUCUCGUAAUUGGAAUGAGAACAAUUUAAAUCCCUUAACGAGGAACAAUUGGAGGGCAAGUCUGGUGCCAGCAGCCGCGGUAAUUCCAGCUCCAAUAGCGUAUAUUAAAGUUGUUGCAGUUAAAAAGCUCGUAGUUGAACCUUGGGCCCGUCCUGCCGGUCCGCCUCACCGCGAGUACUGGUCCGGAUGGGCCUUUCUUUCUGGGGAAUCCCAUGGCCUUCACUGGCUGUGGCGGGGAACCAGGACUUUUAC
rnacentral:rRNA from 1 species